rnacentral:misc_RNA from 1 species
GUUGUGGCCUUUUGCACACUUGGUUACAUAUGGCCUAGUUCCUGUUGAACAAAGACUUCUGUGGGUUGACUGCGUGGAGUUAAUCUGGGUUACAAUACUGUCAACUUACUCCAACGAGAAAUCUGAAGCAAGGAACUCCGAGGACGCAUCCACAUCAAAUGCUUCCAAUGACAAUUCAAUAUAGCGAACGGUAUAGCCAGCCAAGCUGCCCUUUACCUU